rnacentral:rRNA from 1 species
GAUGAACGCUGGCGGCGUGCCUAAUACAUGCAAGUCGAGCGAACAGACGAGGAGCUUGCUCCUCUGACGUUAGCGGCGGACGGGUGAGUAACACGUGGAUAACCUACUUAUAUGACUGGGAUAACUUCGGGAAACCGGAGCUAAUCCCGGAUAAUAUAUUGAACCGCAUGGUUCAAUAGUGAAAGACGGUUUUGCGGUCACUUAUCGAGGGUUCUGCGCCGCAUUGGCUGGUUGGUAAGGUAACGGCUUACCAAGGCAACGAUGCGUAGCCGACCUGAGAGAGUGAUCGGCCACACUGGAGCGUGAACACGGUCCAGACUCCUACGGGAGGCACCAGUAGGGAAUCUUCCGCAAUGGGCGAAAGCCUGACGGAGCAACGCGGCGUGAGUGAUGAAGGUCUUCGGAUCGUAAAACUCUGUUAUUAGGGAAAAACAAAUGUGUAAGGAACUAUACACGUCUUGACGGUACCUAAUCAGAAAGCCACGGCUAACUACGUG